UACAGAGGUCCCAAGCGUUGUUCGGAUUCACUGGGCGUAAAGGGUGCGUAGGUCGUCGGGUAAGUCUGAUGUGAAAUCUCCGAGCUCAACUCGGAAAUGGCAUUGGAUACUAUUCGGCUAGAGGGUUGGAGGGGGGACUGGAAUUCUCGGUGUAGCAGUGAAAUGCGUAGAUAUCGAGAGGAACACCAGUGGCGAAGGCGAGUCCCUGGACAACUCCUGACACUGAGGCACGAAAGCUAGGGGAGCAAACAGG
rnacentral:rRNA from 1 species